UGCUGCUUCUCUCUGCCAAAACUAGCAGAAGUGCAAUGGCACAUAUUAAGGUUUACUUCUUGUUUGAUUAGAGAAGACCACCGCUUAACCUUGGAUUUAAUGGCAAGUUGGUAAACAUCCUCUAUUGUGUUAGUAUGUGCUACUACCAUCUCAAGUUGAAUCUCCAUUUGAAACCCAUCAUUAAAACAAGUGUUUACUUGAGCCUUGUAUUCUUUCGCCUGGUUGCAAAUAGUCAACUCAUGAAAUUCCUUAGUGUAUUGUUCAACUAAUCUAUUGCCUUGUUUAGGUGAGAACAUCUUAGCUGCAAAAGUUGGAAUAAUUAGUUGGAGGAAAGUGUUCUUUCAUUUUCAACUUCAUCUCAUUACACGUGCUUGUUAUAAAAUUACAUCCUUUUUCAAAUGCUUUGUGAGGUGAUUUUUCAAGGUAAAACUCCCACUCCCUUUCCUUCUUCAACUAGUAGUUUUUUAUGAUUUCUCUGCAAUAACUUCAUAAUUUCUUCUAGUUUGGUUGUUAAGCUUCAUUAUGGCCUCUUUUCGUGAUUAUUGAAGCUUCUUCUAAAUGCGUUAAAGUGGCAUCUUGAUCACUAGAAGUAGUCUUGGAACUCAUGCUUGGCUAAAUUGCUUUUCUCCUUAGUUGCAUGCACCUUCAGGCCAAGAACUUCGGUUGUGAUACCAAAAUUGAUGUAGGACAACCUUAGGAUGGUUGUCUACAUUUAAAUGGUUGGGCUAGGAUUUCACUUGUUUAGGGUUUAAGGAGAAGAACUAUGAUACCUAGACUUUUCUUUUUCACUAGCAUAUUGUAUUAACAGAACAUGUGUGUGGGUGUGGGUUUCUCGUUGGAUACUCCUACUUUGCUUUAGAUAUGAUUAUUUGAUUUUGAUUGAUUGAUUGAUUGAUUGAUUUAUUUUUUAUUUUUAACUUAGUAGAUUAUUACAUUGAAAAAAGAGAGAAUUUAAAAAUAUUUAGGUAUAAGGAAUAAAAGCUAAAGAUAAAAGGAAAAAAAAUAGGAAACUCUUAUUAAAGACAUUAUUUUUAAUUGAUUUCUAAUUGUUUUUUUCUUUAUUAUAUCGUUUCCAGUAUCCAUGUCUAAAUUUUGGAUCCUUCUUAGUAAGUUCUUUGUAUCCUAAUCUUGGAGUUAAAAGAAUUUGAUUGCUAGAAAUGUAUCUACACCUUACACCUCCAACCAAGACCAAGCAACACAGGAGAGGAAUAAUUAUUUAAGCUUGUGGUAGUGGGGAAAAUAAAAUAAAAAGUAGAAAAAGAAAGGAUAGAAAAGAAGAGAUGAAAUAAAGUCUUAGAAUUUCAUUGAAGUUUUCUAAGAAUCUCAUCUAAAACAUAAGGGUAUUGGAAUCUCAUCAUCGCAAGCAAAGAUGCAUGAAAAAACUAAUUUAAUUCUCUAUUUUAUUGAAACCCAAGAUCUAUUAGGACUCUAGUUACUCUACUAGGAUUCUAUCUCUUUUUCUAAGAUUCCUAUAUCUCUGAAGCAAUAAGAGUUAAAACAAAACUAUAAACCCAAAUUUUAUAAAUUCUACUAUGACUCAAAUUAACUUCUCCUAAUUUGACUUUUCUCUUUUUUCUUCCUUUUGUGAUUAAACUUUGAAGAUGGAUCCUCAUUGCCAUCUCACGCUUCCUUUGUUUUUCAUUUUUCCUUUUCUUUUUUAAUAUUUAAUAGUAAUUAAUCAUUUUGUGAUGAUGAUUUUUUGUUUAUCUUAGUCAAUAAAAUGUAUGAAUGCUGUUAUGUUCUGCAUGCAUGUUGAGAUAUGAUGCUUGUAGGAUAAGAAGUGGAAGCUAAAUAUAGGAAGUAAGUAAUCGUAAAAGUUUGUAAAUUGGUAGAUGUGACAUCAAAUCAUGGCAAUCUUGUGGUGUUCUUGCAAGGUGUAGCACUUGAAGACUCACUAAUGUAGAGCUUCAUUGAUUUCCUUUGAAGUGCUUCAUAUAUGUUAACUUUUCUAUUGGCAUAAUACCAUUAAAGAGAGUCUUGGCUGACAAGAUGCUAGAAUAUUGCAAUACUAUCUGCUUUGCUCCUGAUAGCAUUAGUUGUGCUUUUUGACACUAGCUGAGAGUGGGGAGUUCUUUGUUUGAGAGAAACUACCAUUUAGAUGGGAAAAUUGAAUAUCAUUCACUGAGACAAAGGACAAAGAAUGAAAAAAUGGAUGACAAAAAUCAUCAUUACAAUGAAGAAGCAUAAAUGCUUUUAUUAACGCCUUGAUGAAUGACAGAGAAUCCUAUGAUUCCUCUUUUUGUUGUUUUACUUUUUGUAAUUCUCUUCUUAGACAAUGAAAGACCUUCUGAAUUGGGUCUUUUACAAGGUGGCAUUGAUGCAGAAGGUUUCAAGAUAUCUACCCUGAUCCUAGUGAUUUGAGCCCCAUGAAGACUAUAUAUGAUAUAGAAAGAACAAAGAAGAACUAAAGAAAUGAGCAGAAUAAGAAGAAUAAAAUGUGAGGGAAGAGCAAGGCUACCUAAGUAUCUCCUCUCCUUCCCAAGGUAGUUAGUCUAAGCAAAAGUGAAGAAAAGUUAGCACUCUGAGUUUGUCAUACCAAUUUCUAAUCCAGUGCACAUAACUAAUUUUGACCUAUAUAGCACAGACAUAGAUAACAGGAAGUCAUGCGUGCCGAGCUAGAACAUUGUCACUGUUGGAUGUUUCCAAAUUGGUGGAAAAAAAAGUAUUUUGGGUGCCCCAAGGGGACAGCAGGAUACAACUGGACAAAUUUUAACUACUAAUAAAUUGCUUUUAUAUAUUUUUUUUAAUUGGACACAACCUUAGGGAUACAGCAUUCAGGAAGUUCGAUUCUAUUGGUAGCAGUGAUACUCCUAAGGAUUAAGAUCAAAAUACCUUACUUCAAAACUUGUUUCCAAACAUGAGACAUCUGGAGAGAGGACAAGAAAUUCGAAAUGUCCAUGCGAUUACGUGGUUGGGGAUUUAUCACUUAGUAAAGACUCUGUCAAAAGCAAAUGAUAUCUUUUUGAAGAAAUUGACAAAUUUGAAUGUUGUAUGUAGAGUUCCAAGUAAUGCAGUGAUGAAAAAUAAAAUGGGCAAUAUUUCUACAUGCUUGAUCUGUUCUUGGAAUACAGGAUUCCUAGACAUUUGAAUGGCACUCCAGUUGCAGAACAUGAAGGAUUGGUAAAAUACUAAAAAGUUAGGGAGGAUGCUAUUUGCGAAAGUUUCUGCAGCUGUACUAGCCAUUGUGUGGUAUUUUUCUUCAGUGCUAGAUUAAGAUACAAUAUCCAGGUAUUAGUUUUCCUUGAAAUGAGUCUUCAAGGACAGAAGCUAGUGGUCAAGUGAUGAUGAUUGUGAUGAUGGCCCAGUAAACAGUAAAAUAGGCAAGGGGUUGCAGUAAAGAGCAUUUAAAAGCCUGGUUUCAUAUGCAAGAUCUUCAAGUUUCUGUACCAUAUAAUAUGCAUGCAUUCACACAAAAUACACUUACAAUAAUAAGCAUACAUGCAAAAUUGUAUGCAUGCAUGUGUGGUUUUAAGAUUAGUUAAGUUUCUCAUUGGUAUUCCUCUUUCAGACAGAAUGUUCUGUUCUUUUGAUGUCUCCUAAUUCUUUAAUGCAUAUUUAAUAUUGCUGUGACUCUUCCCAAACUCUGUAAGAGGCUUCAUUGUUAAAAAAAGGGAUGAACUUGGAAUUUUGUAUCUAUGAUCACAGGUUCAACUAAGGCUUUUUUUUUUUUUGUUUUUGUUUUUCUGUCAGUGUUAAAAAAAGGUUUUAUUUUGUUGGUGCACCUAUGGCAUGUUUUAAUUUCUUUAUUUAGUCAAUAACUUAAUCUUGUAGACUAGGUUUUGCAAUGCUGAAAGGUAAAUUAAGAUGGUCCUAUCACCCAUGCAUGCAUUAUUGACUGCCAACCCUUUUGAGCAUUACAUGCCUUACAAAGGAUACACUUAUUGGAUGAUCAGAAUUAUCCUAUCAGUUCAAUGUUCAGGAUAAAUGCCUAGUUCUUGGUAGAAACCAAAAUCCCCUCUUCUACCUGCUACAGAUACUUGACACGGAAAACAUAUGUUGUUUGCCUGUCUCAGUUGUGUCUAAAAAGAAAAAAUUCUUAAUUUUCUAUUAUUUGGUAAUACCCAUACAUGUUCAGCACUCAUAAUUAGACAAAUAAUGUGAUGAAAUUAAAUCUUUUAGAUAUAGCUCUUUUUGUGCUGUGGAACUUGCAGUUGAACAUUGAAGGAUGGUUAAUGAAGGAAUACCUUGACUUCUGAUGCUGGAUUCAGCAAUUGAUGAUUCUCCUCUUUUGAUUUGUGAUAUCGGUCAAUUGCAGAUUUUAUGCUGUUGGUGCUUGAGGGGAAAUCAGAAGUUCAUUGUAACAUACCUCAACUUAUUCUUCUCUUGUGGAUGCAAACUCUGUGCAAAUGGUUUAUUGUACCUUGGAAUUAGAGACUCCAAUUUUCUAACAUUGUUGUUACUCUCUCUCAUGGAAAGAGAUUUUUUUGUAAACAUGAUACUCAGAAUGUUGACUAUAUUAUAAGUUAUAAAUGGUUCAGUUUUAUGCAUGAACAAUGAGAUAGUUAUGAAGAGAUGCACAUAUUUUAUGUAUAAUUUGAUUCAGAACCUGUGAUUCAUUUUGU